AUACGUAGGGGGCGAGCGUUGUCCGGAAUGAUUGGGCGUAAAGGGCGCGCAGGCGGCCCGGUAAGUCUGGAGUGAAAGUCCUGUUUUUAAGAUGGGAAUUGCUUUGGAUACUGUCGGGCUUGAGUGCAGGAGAGGGAAGUGGAAUUCCCAGUGUAGCGGGGAAAUGCGUAGAGAUUGGGAGGAACACCAGUGGAGAAGGCGACUUACUGGACUGUAACUGACGCUGAGGCGCGAAAGUGUGGGGAGCAAACAGGAUUAGAUACCCUGGUAGUCCACACUGUAAACGAUGAAUGCUAGGUGUAGGGGGUAUCGACCCCUUCUGUGCCGCAGUCAACACAAUAAGCAUUCCGCCUGGGGAGUACGGCCGCAAGGUUGAAACUCAAAGGAAUUGACGGGG
rnacentral:rRNA from 1 species